rnacentral:sRNA from 1 species
UUUCGACUGCAGUAAGGAACCGAUUUC